rnacentral:antisense_RNA from 1 species
CUUGAUGGAGCCGAGCCACACCGGGUCGUCGCCGUCACGGCCCUGGCCGUAGGUGGCCAGCAGCGCCUGCGCCUC